rnacentral:lncRNA from 1 species
CUGAGGCCUGGAAACAGAGAACGGUGGGACCAAGGUCACAUGAUGGCGGAAGGAGGACAAGGAAGGAGGCUGACUGCGUAUCCAGCACGUGUUCCGUGCCAAGCCUGUGCAGGGGCCAAGGACCGGGGUCUCUGGACAGCGCCGGUUGCUGGGUCCCACGCUGGGCGACAGGGCCUUUGCAAUCAGGCCGACAGGGUUUGAACCCUUGCCGCGGCACUUUCCAGAUGGCCUUGGCCACUGUCCCCUCUCUGACCUUCAGAUGGAGCCCAUGGCACCUCCGGAGGGGGUGUGUGCUUCCAGGACCAAAUCCACUUGUGCGUGGUUAGGCACGAGGUGGGGGGAGGCGGCUCAGCCACCGGGACCUGUCCUGCCUCCACCCUCUGUGCAACCCCUUUCCUUGCCUUUUGUCUCUGUUGCUUUUGGGGGGUGAUUAGCCGCUAGCUCAGCGGCUAGAGGAUUCUCUCCCGGAAAAGGCUCCGGAGUUGAGGCCCAGACCCCCAGGGCAAGACGGAAUCUGCUCCCCAGGGCACUAACUGAGACUCGGUUCCCUCACUGGUAAAAUGAGAAAACUCACUUAUGGUCAGGGGUCCCCGAGUUAAUGCCAGUGAAUUCCUUGGCAGAGCAUCAAGCACUUGGAGAAGCCCCCACCCCCGGUCAUUGUGAUGAUGGUUUGUUUGUUUGUUUGUUUGUUUUGAGACGGAGUCUCGCUCUGUCGCCCAGGCUGGAGUGCAGUGGCGCGAUCUCGGCUCACUGCAAGCUCUGCCUCCCGGGUUCACGCCAUUCAGGGGAGUGGCGCCGAGACACCGUGUAGCGCCCAUGCCAAGGAGGAAGCGAGACAGCAGGAGCGGAGGAAAGAACCCCGGGCUGUGUUGAGGAAGCCUCCUACUUUUGCCUGAAGUGAGCCACCCAGGACUUUGUGACCACAGCCCUAGCAAACGAAUACGCCGCAUUUCACAGGGCCCUACAGACAGGAGAUGGGAUCUAAGGGAAUUAACCUACUUGCAAGCAGAAAUGAAAGGGAAAGAGAAAAUCCAGAAAUGUUGGAUUUGCAGGAUUGAAAAAGGCAACUAUUCCUCAUCUCGGUCCAAUGAAAGAGCAACUAAGUCUCCUAUAGAGAGAAGCGUUGACUGGGGACACUCGCUGCUUGCGUUUUGCUGGUAGCUGGGCUGGAAGGUCCACAAAGGUUCACUUCAUCCUCAGCCUCGGAAGUCACACAGCGUCGCUUCUGCUGCAUCCUGUUGAUGAAAGCCAGUCCUGGAGUCAGCCCAGAUCCAAGGGGAGGAGGAAAAGACUCCAGGUCUUGCUGAGAGUAAUGACUAAGAAUCUGCAGCCAUCUCCAAUCCACCACGCCCAUGCAAGAGACGGGAGUGAUAUUUGCAACCAAGAUGGUGAACGGCAGCAGAUUGGUCACUGUUUCCAGUUAUUCACCAUCCCCUCAGUGAGAGGAUUAUCCAUCCUGCCCCAUUGCUACGUGACAUGCAGAGCAUCCAGUGCUGGGUACACUUCCCCUCCCCACCAAAUCAUGUUUGGCCACGUGACUUGCGUUAGCCAGUGAAUCCGGAGCCCAAGUCCUAGCAGGCCAUUCAAAAGAGAAGCUUCAAGAGCCAUCACGUGGGUUGGCCAGCCUGCCUGCACUUUUCCCUUUAAACAGAGCUGCGUUUUCUAGAGAGAGGCCUCACACAAGCCUCCCUGUUCCACAGAAUACAAAUCCAAUUGGUAAGUCUUCUAUCCA